CCGCCCGUCAAGCCAUGAAAGCCGGGGGUACCUGAAGUACGUAACCGCAAGGAGCGUCCUAGGGUAAAACUGGUAAUUGGGGCUAAGUCGUAACAAGGUAGCCGUACCGGAAGGUGCGGCUGGAACACCUCCUUU
rnacentral:rRNA from 1 species